rnacentral:tRNA from 1 species
ACAUAGCAGGUUUAUUUUUAGAGCAUGGGACUCUUAAUCCCAGGGUCGUGGGUUCGUGCCCCACGUUGGGCG